rnacentral:rRNA from 1 species
CCUGAAACCGUGUGCUUACAAGUAGUCAGAGCCCGUUAAUGGGUGAUGGCGUGCCUUUUGUAGAAUGAACCGGCGAGUUACGAUUUGAUGCAAGGUUAAGCAGUAAAUGUGGAGCCGUAGCGAAAGCGAGUCUGAAUAGGGCGUUUAGUAUUUGGUCGUAGACCCGAAACCAGGUGAUCUACCCUUGGUCAGGUUGAAGUUCAGGUAACACUGAAUGGAGGACCGAACCGACUUACGUUGAAAAGUGAGCGGAUGAACUGAGGGUAGCGGAGAAAUUCCAAUCGAACCUGGAGAUAGCUGGUUCUCUCCGAAAUAGCUUUAGGGCUAGCCUCAAGUGAUGAUUAUUGGAGGUAGAGCACUGUUUGGACGAGGGGCCCCUCUCGGGUUACCGAAUUCAGACAAACUCCGAAUGCCAAUUAAUUUAACUUGGGAGUCAGAACAUGGGUGAUAAGGUCCGUGUUCGAAAGGGAAACAGCCCAGACCACCAGCUAAGGUCCCAAAAUAUAUGUUAAGUGGAAAAGGAUGUGGCGUUGCCCAGACAACUAGGAUGUUGGCUUAGAAGCAGCCAUCAUUUAAAGAGUGCGUAAUAGCUCACUAGUCGAGUGACACUGCGCCGAAAAUGUACCGGGGCUAAACAUAUUACCGAAGCUGUGGAUUGUCCUUUGGACAAUGGUAGGAGAGCGUUCUAAGGGCGUUGAAGCAUGAUCGUAAGGACAUGUGGAGCGCUUAGAAGUGAGAAUGCCGGUGUGAGUAGCGAAAGACGGGUGAGAAUCCCGUCCACCGAUUGACUAAGGUUUCCAGAGGAAGGCUCGUCCGCUCUGGGUUAGUCGGGUCCUAAGCUGAGGCCGACAGGCGUAGGCGAUGGAUAACAGGUUGAUAUUCCUGUACCACCUAUAAUCGUUUUAAUCGAUGGGGGGACGCAGUAGGAUAGGCGAAGCGUGCGAUUGGAUUGCACGUCUAAGCAGUAAGGCUGAGUAUUAGGCAAAUCCGGUACUCGUUAAGGCUGAGCUGUGAUGGGGAGAAGACAUUGUGUCUUCGAGUCGUUGAUUUCACACUGCCGAGAAAAGCCUCUAGAUAGAAAAUAGGUGCCCGUACCGCAAACCGACACAGGUAGUCAAGAUGAGAAUUCUAAGGUGAGCGAGCGAACUCUCGUUAAGGAACUCGGCAAAAUGACCCCGUAACUUCGGGAGAAGGGGUGCUCUUUAGGGUUAACGCCCAGAAGAGCCGCAGUGAAUAGGCCCAAGCGACUGUUUAUCAAAAACACAGGUCUCUGCUAAACCGUAAGGUGAUGUAUAGGGGCUGACGCCUGCCCGGUGCUGGAAGGUUAAGAGGAGUGGUUAGCUUCUGCGAAGCUACGAAUCGAAGCCCCAGUAAACGGCGGCCGUAACUAUAACGGUCCUAAGGUAGCGAAAUUCCUUGUCGGGUAAGUUCCGACCCGCACGAAAGGCGUAACGAUUUGGGCACUGUCUCAACGAGAGACUCGGUGAAAUCAUAGUACCUGUGAAGAUGCAGGUUACCCGCGACAGGACGGAAAGACCCCGUGGAGCUUUACUGUAGCCUGAUAUUGAAAUUCGGCACAGCUUGUACAGGAUAGGUAGGAGCCUUUGAAACGUGAGCGCUAGCUUACGUGGAGGCGCUGGUGGG